GCUUACAUACCAUAACGUCUUAUUUUUUUAUAAUAUUUGAUCGACACCGUUACUGGUGAAUUAUCAGUCCCCGAGAGUAUCAUCACUUAAGUAGUCAGUUAUUUGGUACUGAUAUCAUUUAUAACAACCCUUCUGAAAUUGUCUGAUUAUAGGUUAGGAUAUUAUUACGGAUCUUAACCUCAGAUUGACCUUAUAUGAAUUUUGUUUAUUUGAGCUUCUUUUUCGUGAUUUAGCUCUUCAACUGUAUCUGUUAUUAUAUAAUUCGUGGCAUUCGAAUAAUUGUAUUUGUACCUUUUUGAGUUUGGUCUUGAAAAGGGGUUCGGAUAUAUGGGAUUUUUUAAGUGUUGUUUUAUUUUUUUAAGAAAAGGGCACACAUGUACCAUAAAAGAAUAUAAUUUAUUAACAAAAUAAUGACGAAAAAGACACCAGAAACGAAUUCACAUUAUUUACACGAAAAAGAAAGGAAGCAUUCUUGUUAAACAAUUCCUUGAAACUUUACCAUACGGACUUCAGAUAAAGUACCGUGAUCCCUUCAAAAUCAGAAAAGUGUAAUUGUCUGUUCAACGUGCUGAUUUUACACUUUUUAAUCCUAGCACUCUUUUGUGCUUAUCCCAUGUGCAUUUUCACCAUGUGGUGUCAUUAUGUCUGUAUAUGUCAUUUGUAACGUAUGUUUUGUCAGAUGAUUCGGAUGUUGAUGUUUCAUGUGAUCUGUUGUACCGAUGAUUAAAGUUGUCAUUUCUAUGAAUAACUGUAUUCAUGUGUUGUAUCAUUUUCUUGCAUCAUUUUAUGCACCCUUAGAGUUUUUCGUGAACAUUAACUAUUAAUAACCACUCAACAUUACUAUAGCAAUCAAAAAGUGUUUCUCGUGAAAAUUAACUUACGUAGUAAUUUUACUAACCACUCAACAUCACUAUGGCAGGAUAUCAGACAACUUCCUUCCGCAAUCAGGUCAAUUGGGCGACAGGAUUAAUGUAUUGUUAUUUUACAGUUAGAUGUUACAUAGUUUUAUCGGCAAUUGAUCGUAUUGGUUGGUACUUUGGUGAUAAUGAAUGAAUCAAACGUCUUUAUGUCAAUAACGUGUAAAAUAAAAACAGGAUUUAGUUGAAGUACGACAUGAAUGUUUUGUUACUUGACAUAUUUGUGCUGCAGAAAUGUAAAAUGCACUUUAAGACUUGCUUAUUUCAUAAUUUUUUUUACGUUUUACGCAGGAAUAUUUUUACGUAAUAAAAUGUGGUUUCGAUUACUAUAACGAUUUUUCCAGUUUUGAUUGGGAACUUAAAGUAACCAAAUAAUUUGCCCUCUGAUAUCACUGAACAUACAUCUUGUCGAAUUAGAAUCUUGUACGGUGGUAUUGCUUAGUAUUGUUAGUAUUGUUUAUUUCUAUGUUCCGCUCUCUUGGGCAUUAGUUCGACAUUAAACGUGUUUUCUCAAACUGGAACUAGUUCUAAAUUCCGUUUUUGACAUCCAACAAGAGUAAAUCUGACAAAGUUACAAAAC
rnacentral:lncRNA from 1 species